rnacentral:lncRNA from 1 species
GGUUUUGGUCGAACACUUCCCCCUUUUUUGUUCCAAACCCUUCCCAAAUAUUUUUUUUUGAUAAGGUAAACCUUCCCAAAGUUUACCAGAUGCUUCAGCCAGAGUUCCGAAGUUUGAGAUUUGAAUGAUCCUCCGGCCUUCCCUCAACCCAAAAUUAGGGCUUGAAAUGGUAAGCUUAUUCUCCUCUUGUUUCAAGGUUAGGGUUUAAUUUGAUUUUCAUGUAAAAAUUUGUUAGAUUUGCUAAAUGUACAAAUGGAUUCUUAUGCUUUCGCAACUCGAAUGCUUUGUCACUGGCGGAAUAACUUCAUGACUUAUUGUUAAAUCCGAGAAUUUUUCAGUUGAAAUAGAAAAUACAAUUACCAGAAUAUAUUAUUUGCUAUUUGUGUAUCAGCUUAAAAGGUACUAAAAUAAUUGUAGGCUGGGGCUCAAUUUAUGUGGAGGAUUUCGAGGAAAUGUAUCUGCACUUCCCAUAUGCAUUGUCUCAUUGUUUGAUUUUCUAACUUCUUAGGUUUAUUGAAAUGCUUUUUGAUUUAGAGUUUGUCUAUUAGACCAUAUUAUGUUUUCUUUUCAUUGUAAUUAUUUAUCUAGGGAUAGGUAUGCAUCUAACUUAUAGGUGUUGUAUGUUUUACCAAAUCUCAGCUUAACAGAACUUUGUUGUUAUAGCACUAGAAUGAAAAGCCUUUCAUUCCUUGUUUAUGUGAUUUACUUUGCAUUGUCGAAGCCUUAUUUUUACUUAUUCGUUAAACUUUUUCUUUUUCAUUGAACAUAUUAGCAAUUUGUUAAAUUUUUUGUGCAGGGAUGAGGGCCUAAUAUUGAGGUUAGUCUCUUAAUGUCACUUUAAUUGAAUGACCUUAUAUCUUUAGAGUUUUUGUGCGUUUGUCCAUAAGCUCAUUGCAUAUAAAUAUCUUUUUCAGUAAUCCUGUGCGACUUGGGAUAUGGUUGAGACAGUAAUAAUUGUAUAUAACAUGAACACUUUUGCUUCUCUUUUGGAUUGGCAACUUAAUAUCAAUUAUGUCAUAUACAAUUUCGUUCUUUUUUAGGGGGUGGACAGAGUGGGGUGAAGAAUAGUUAAGCUGAACUAACAUGUUGUGGUAGAGAGGCUAAAGUUCAAUUUUUUCAACAAACACGUCAAAUAAGUACCAUGGCUAUUCUAAAAACUAGAACGCAUGUGCUGCAACUGAAAUUUUUAUAUGCACCCAUUUGGGAUCCUGGACUUCACUGUGUUAGUUUUAGAGGCUAUUUCUUUUUGGUAUUCACUCGGUAGAAAAAGAUGGUUGGAGAACACCUUUUGACUGUGCACCUAUCUCCUUUUUUCCUUAUAUAAUGGAAGUUGGAUGCAUGCUAAAGUGAUGGGACAUGCUGAGGCUCAGAAUAAGUUCUAGUCUAUUCUUAGUGAGGAGUUAAACUGGUAGAAUUAACUAUUAGACAAAUGUGCUAAUCUGACCUUUCUACAUUUAAAUUUUUUACUUGAAUAAGUAGACUUGAUAUGUCCUAACUGGCUAUUGAUAUAUUUUUCUAAUGAAGAGAUAAUUUUCUUUACUAUCAUUGCCUUCUGUCUGCAUAAUCGUUUCUUUUAUAAGUUUUUUGAGAUUGUCAACCAACCUUGAACCCUUGACCUAGUAGUUUGGAGAGAACUUCCAACUACUAUGAACAAGGAUGGCCGGUGUAUUUUUUUCGAAUUUGAAUUUGUUAAUGGUGAACUCUUCAUUACUCCAUCGAGGGACAUGCAAGGGUAUCAACAUUCUGUAUUAGUGCUACCACUUGAAUUUUUUUUUCCUUACUCUAACAUGCAUCUUUUUCAGCAAAUCUAUUAUUGCACCCUAGUGUGACUGUUAGAUUGUUAACUCUUUUCCUUUGUAUUUUAUAUUCCCUUAGUGUUGUUAUCGUUAUCCUGCUUUCGCGUAGUUCCUUNN